CAUUAAAUUAGAAGUAUCAUUCAGAUUUACCACCUUUACAUAAGAAUGAAGAUAUGAUUUCUUUAGAAUCAUAUUACUAUUCGUAUAAAUUAAUUAUAAAAUAUCAAAAUUAUUUUUCAUUUAUUCGUUGGCAUCAAACGAUUAACCAAUGAUAGUCGACAAAAUCGUAAAAGAAAACGAAGGAUUACACAAUAUCGUGUUUGCUAGAGAAUUCGAAUGGCAUAUAAUUGGAAGGAGCAGCGAUCAACAGUGUGACGUUUAGCGAAUCGAUGAUGGUGGUGGUGGAGGACGGCGGUGGUAAAAACGGCAGUUUGAAAAAAGAAGGAAAAAGGAAGCGAUGAGUGGAAGAGGAGGAGGAGGAGGAGGAUGGGGAAGGAUACUCGAAAAUUAUUCCGAUAUGAAACUCAUCGCGCGGCGUAUCGCGUCAAAGGAGCCAAUUUAAAACAGCCCUUUCCAAGAUUAUCAGCGCGUCGUUGCGGUGGGAUUAAUAUAUAAAAAAGGCGAGUACAACGAAGGUGGUAGGAAGGGUGGGUUCGAGAAGAGAUAGAGAGGGAGAUAGAGUGAGAGGAGGAGGGAGUGGGAGGAAGGGCAGAAGCGUGCGGGAUUGGUAAACUUCCCGGUAAUUUGUUCGUCAGUCGCUUUGAACCUCUUUUAAACAACUACUGUGUUCUCUUCCACCUUUUUUCGCUAUCUUCCCCCCCACUCUCCUCCAUCGUUGCUCGUUUGAAAGAGGGAAAUUAUUGCGGAAAGGUGGAAGAAAGGCGGAGAAAGGGGAAAAACUUCGUGAUUAAAGGUGCUUCGGUUUGUUAAAUUAUUCGGGUCGAAAGACGGUUGCUUUGAAAGGAUAUUCAUUAUGUUCCUGAAAGUGCGGAGUCUUCGUAACAGCUUUUAAAAGGUGACAAAAUCCCCUUAGAGCACGGUUCGCAAGGGUAGGCUAAAUUACAAUUAAUUAAUUGACUUCGACUCCCUGUAAUUCAUGCGUUGAUGAUUAUGUUUUUCAUUUGGUCAAUUAAAGGAAUUUGAGGCGAGGUGAAUAAUUGGGAAAAUAAUUUGAAGAAUUGAUUAUUUGAGGAACAUUCAGAAUAAGUAUUGAACAAUGAAUAAGGUAUAUUCUAAAAUUUACAAAUUAUUUAUUCAUCAAAAAAUAAAAAGCUUGUUCAAAAAAGAAACAAUGAUAAUAGAAAUGAAAAUACUAUGGAUGAAAGCAACAGUUUUACCUCGUAUCCUACAUCAAUAAAGUAGGUUGAAAUGUCAGUGGUUGAAAAGGCUAUUAAUUACAGACACCCUCCUCUAUUGUAACGACGCCGAUAACUUUUCUAUUAUCCUUUUAAAAGAAGAUUUAAGGCCAAAUAGUCUUAACAACAGCACGCUUGCAGGUCGUAUAAUCCUUACUAUCAUUAUCGAAAUUUUUUUUUUUUUCUUUUUUAACACGACUUUUUUAACAUCUGCUCCGAAACGAAUAAAAAUCUCGUUAUCCGGAAAAGACUAUCCUCAGCUGUUAGGCUACACCUAACACAGAUGUUUCUAUUUGCAACACUUAUGAAAGUAUAAGCCAGAAAUUUGACAGAGUAUGAUUUCAUUUUUGGGAGUCAUAAAAUUUCAAAGGCAAGGACCACCACGUACACACAUGCUACAACCCUUUGUUGUUAAUGGAAGCCUUGAUGAUCGCGGACAAUCGCCGAAGGUGUCUGUCUGCCUGACAAGCCGACACUCUCUACAUUGUAAUUAAUCAAUAUUACAUCGACAAUACUUAUAUUAUGGAUAAUUUUAAAAAAUGUUACAUAUGGAUAACAUCAGACAGAAGUUUUGCAUAUUUUGAAUGUGAGUGAAAAUUAAUCGUGAGAGUUAAAAAAAAAAAAAGAAAAAGAAGAGAGUUAGAGCGAAAAUUUGGCGAGAAGCGGGAAAGGGUAAUUACUAAUGAUCGCGGAGGAUCGUUAUUAACCUUUCUGGUGGCGAGAGGCAUCAGGACGUAGCAGGACCAUUGUCCAUUCCGCUAGGUUCAUUACGGUGUUCCAGUAGGGAAUGAGGCGAUGGUCGGGUGGAUGAUGUAAAAAAGGGUAAAAGAGAAAUAAGAAAAGUGUCGGGGGUCAGAGGAGACCGAACGGCUACCGUGAAUGGCGCAGCCUGACCCAAGAGCUGCCGGGCAUCAAAAGGGCCUCAAAAGGACCGCUUCGAACCUCGGCCUGUCCGAAGCUCAUUUGUUUUCACCGGCGCAUGGAAAGAUCGAUCGACCGAUGUCUUAACCCUACACUCUCCACGGAAUCAUCCGCUUUCGAUAAGAAAAAUUCUGAGGCAUUAAUUAGAUCGGCCUGUAAUAGAGUCAUGAUGGAAAACUGAUUGCCUGCGUCGAAGUUACGGCAAUUUACUUAGCCUAUCAACUAUCUUCUCUGCAUUUCCCUCCAUUUUCUCCUCGAUCUUGUUGAGCUAGAUUAACUAUCUCUUGGAUAACAUUUUCAAUAUGACAUCUAUAGUCAUGUAUGACAUCUAUAGUCUUUGAUAUUUGUUAUAAAAUGAUGAAAAACGAUGAAAUUGUUACGCAUACUGGUGACAGGAUCUUUACACGUAGAAUAGAAAAUUUCCAUGAGGUUUCUUGAGAUCUUCUUUCUUCCUUUUGAUAUCGAUUCGAUGGAUGAUCGUUAAUUUGAAUGGACGAAAUGAUCGAUAAUAUUAGACUAGAUAAUUCUAUGAGCAAAACAAAAAGAAUAUAAAUUUAUAUUCUCCAUCGAAUCAUUGUAUCUUACGUUCUCACGGCAAAAACACGGUAGAUUAUCUUACGUGAUUGGAGUGGAUGAAAAUUCCACGUAGACGGACGUGCGGGGUGGAAGUGUUGGGAAGUUUUAGAAAAAUCGGAUGAGGAAGAGGUUACACGAGGGGAUACUAGGAUUGCAUUUACAAGGGGGAUUUGUACGGUAGUCGAGAAACGAAGUGAAAUUAUCGAUGCGAUUGCCACUGGAACAGACUCUCUCGGUUGAAGGGCCGACAAAGGGUCGAUCAGUGAUUCUCUCCAUCUCCUUUCAUCUCGUUCCUUUUUCGAAAGAUAACCCCACGGUGGCCACCUUUUUGUUUGCACAGUGAGAUUGCUUGCCUCUUGCUCGGAAAUUGACCGAAGAUUACGGCCGACCGACGUUUGCUCUGCGGCCACGGCCUUAACUUUGCGCUACCACAAAAAUAUCAUUGGCUUCCUCCUUUUCCCUUCCAACUUCUUUGUCUUCUUCCUUCUAUUAUUUUUUUCCUUCGGGUAUUGAUUCCUUUCGCGUUUUAUACAUACAUGAAAAACCAAUCGAUCUUUUAUCUUUUUUUCUCGCUCAAAAACUUGAAAUUUUAAAAUUCAAAUUACAAAUUAAUUUCCUCUAAGUAAAUGGUAACGUAUAACAACUUAUGAAAAAAUUAUUCUUAUGAUCUAUUGAUACCUUGCUUAUAAUGAAAAUUACAAUAUACAAAUCUAAUAAUAUUUUAUAUAUCCUACAUAUUAGUUGAAUAGAUAUUAGUAUAUUAGUUGCAUAAAAAAUUGCAAUCCAGUCAUUAUUCUUGAAAUUUUUUCCCAAAAUAUCGUAUCGAAAUCGAUAAAAUCGUUCUUUUUAUUCUUGAUUUACAAACAAAGUAAAGUAUCAUCUAUCGUUCGUCCGAGAAAUUAUACGACAAACAUUUUAACUGCGACGUAACCACAAAACUUCUCUUUCCCCGGUCGUACACUUCCCUUUCCUCCUUAUCCCGAAGAGAGAUGAUGUCUAAGCUUAUUAUCGAGACCCUCGAGACCUCUCUUUCUCUCCAUCUUGCAGGAUUUGAUCGAAGUUGAUGGAGCGAGCACGGAGCUAACCGCCCAGAGUAUUAUGUGUCGAAAAAUAUUCAAGAAAACCUCUUCGGCCAGUCCUUCGGAGGAGCAAUGACUUUUGUCCGCCACGAUACUGUCAGAAGUGAUUACCCGUAAUGGAUCAAGCUCUUUAAUGCUCUACCCACGUGCGCUAGAAGAAUUAUCCGUUCGAGAGGCAGCUAGAGCUUGUUUAAAGGGCGUUGUACGCCCGUUAUACGACGCGGUAACAAGCGCGAUUUCAGCUCACGGUGUACAAUUAAAAGUAACACGGCUCGAUGCGCGUUAACGCGAGCGAGUCGAAUCGUUUGAUCCUCCGUAGAAAAAUUGCGCGCUCUAUUCCGAGAGAAAGAGAAAGAUUUAUGACAUACGGUUCUAAAGAUCGUAAAUCAUUUGGUAUAUCGUAAACAGCCAAUAAGCCGAGAUCAAAGAGACAUUAAACUCUGGUCGAAGUUGGAGAAGUGGGGUUAGAACCGGUUAAUCGUUGAUAGAGGAGUGAUUAUUAAAUAGGGGGAAAAAAAAAAAACAAGAAAAGAAAAAGAAAAGAACAGAUUAUUCUUCUCCUAGAGAAGGCUAAUUAUGAGAGGCAUUAAUUAAGCACUAACGACGAAGGAUUAUUAACGAACAAAUCGGUUCUCCUUACAUGGGGACAAGGUUUUGAUCGACGAGCCACGAGUUUAGCCGAGGGCAACUACAACGACCAAUCGAUCUAUCGAUUGAGAUCGAUCGAAUUACCGGUAUGCACGAUUCCUUGUAUCGAUAUAUAUAUAUAUGUAUAUGUAGAUGUAAGGAUCGAUUGCAGAAUGAAAGAUUGUGAACUAAUACGGGUGACAGAAGGGAGUGUACAGACGCACGGGAAAGACGCGAUUGAAUUACCAUAAAACGCCAUGAUUAACGUAAAGUAAACGAAUAUAAUGCCGCAAUGACCGCAACCUGUUCUAUAGCAGUUAGAGUAUGUCCCCGCAAUGGUUUCCUGUAUCUCUACGUCCGACGCGAUGUCUCUCACUUUUCUUUUAUCGCAUCGUUCUCUGUGAAAUUAAAUAAUUUCGUGUACGAAUAGAUUUAAAUUUAAUUGGUAGUGGAAUUUUGAGAUUAUCAUCUGUGAUGAGAAGUACGAUAAGACUUUAAAAACUUCGCACGGUCAUUCAAUUAUCGGGUUCGUAUGUAAUAGGUUAGGUAAUACGAACAUUGUGAAUGCAGAAAUAAAUCAAUUUACAUAAUA